rnacentral:piRNA from 1 species
UACUUCAUAGUGAGUUUACAGAGGGAGAC